UGGAAACUUACCGGAAUCAGGUCGAGGACGUCGGAAAGCUACCCAAAGCGUCCACCCAGGUAAGAUCGAACUAUCAGAUAGCGGUAAAAGUUCCGAUUGACCGCUCGAUACACAUAGAGUUUGUCAACAACAAAAUCUCUCACAAAUAUCCAAAAAAAAUCUUCAAUACAACUCUGACAGAGUUAAUAACAAAUGACGAAGAUGCGUCCGAAGAUCGCCCGCUCUGAUACCAUGAAAACAUAGCAAAAUGGAGAUGAAGAUGAGAUGAAGAAGAGUCAGUUUUCAGAGAGCUCCC
rnacentral:lncRNA from 1 species